rnacentral:rRNA from 1 species
AUACGGAGGGUGCAAGCGUUAAUCGGAAUUACUGGGCGUAAAGGGUUCGUAGGCGGUUAUUUAAGUCAGAUUUGAAAGCCCCGGGCUCAACCUGGGAAUUGCAUCUGAUACUGGGUAACUAGAGUUUAAGAGAGGAGUGUGGAAUUUCCGGUGUAGCGGUGAAAUGCAUAGAGAUCGGAAGGAACAUCAGUGGCGAAGGCGGCACUCUGGCUUAAAACUGACGCUGAGGAACGACAGCGUGGGUAGCAAACAGGAUUAGAAACCCUAGUAGUCC